rnacentral:rRNA from 1 species
CGGGGAAUUUUGGACAAUGGGGGAAACCCUGAUCCAGCCAUCCCGCGUGUGCGAUGAAGGCCUUCGGGUUGUAAAGCACUUUUGGCAGGAAAGAAACGUCGCGGGUUAAUACCCCGCGAAACUGACGGUACCUGCAGAAUAAGCACCGGCUAACUACGUGCCAGCAGCCGCGGUAAUACGUAGGGUGCAAGCGUUAAUCGGAAUUACUGGGCGUAAAGCGUGCGCAGGCGGUUCGGAAAGAAAGAUGUGAAAUCCCAGAGCUUAACUUUGGAACUGCAUUUUUAACUACCGGGCUAGAGUGUGUCAGAGGGAGGUGGAAUUCCGCGUGUAGCAGUGAAAUGCGUAGAUAUGCGGAGGAACACCGAUGGCGAAGGCAGCCUCCUGGGAUAACACUGACGCUCAUGCACGAAAGCGUGGGGAGCAAACAGGAUUAGAUACCCUGGUAGUCCACGCCCUAAACGAUGUCAACUAGCUGUUGGGGCCUUCGGGCCUUGGUAGCGCAGCUAACGCGUGAAGUUGACCGCCUGGGGAGUACGGUCGCAAGAUUAAAACUCAAAGGAAUUGGACUGGGGUCGAUAGC